GUGUGUGCGCGUGCAGGAGGCUGUGAGGCGCCACAGCGCCAUUUUCUGUCUUUAAACGCUUUAAAAAUGGAGAUUUUUUGGUGAUUUUGUGUAAAUUUUGGCAGCUUUUAGUGAGUCUGUGCUGUUAAAAUCACUGUAGCGUCGAGUGUUUGUGUGUAUUCGGUACAUUAGUGAUGUUUAAAGCUUGUUGGUGCCUAAUGCUAACCGGUUAGCCUGUGGGAGUAGAAUGGUGAUGUAUGAUGGAGUGCAGUAGCUUUACAUGAUGGACAUUUCAGAAAACCUUCUCUGCUUUCUGGCUGUGGUGGUGAAAUCAUCUGCUGAACUGCUGCUGCCGUGGAGAGAAACAGAAAUAAAGACAAAAGCAUCAUAAGGUUGUCUCAAAGUUGGAAAAAGCAAGAACAGCUCCACGUACCAUGUGGAUGGAUUUCGUUGAAUUCCUCCUUACAGAAUUAACCUCGUUGGAUUUUGUUCAAUUUCUUUUAAAUGAAGUCCUAAGGAAAGGCUUCACUUGUUCACUCGAGAAACCUGCUGGUCAAACUAUUAAUCAUAUAAUCAUCUAGACAAUACACAGGCUGGUGCACAGCAGUUCAUCAAACCAGGCUGAUAUAAAGAUACGUUCUCGUCUGUCCCAGAAUAAAACUCCUCACGAAUGCAUGAACAGUCACGGAUUGGGAUACUACGUGCAGCCUUUCAUUGACAAUUGAUCAGGAUGAAUGGAGGGUCAACCUCAGUCUAGACCUUUCCUUGGAGAUGGUUCUUUUGACGAAGGUAUUUUGUUAAAUGCUGGUGUGAUGAUAGAUGUUAGAGUAGGAGAUCCGACAUGGGAUUAGAACUAUAUUAGACAUGCUAAUGUUGAGAAAGUGGUGCGAUCAGAAACCUGACUGAGAUCUUGCCCAUAUCAUCUGUUAAUGCAUGUGUGUUGACUUCACUUUCUUAGUAAACUCAACCGUGUUAUGAAAGAAAGAAAGAAAGAAAGAAAGAAAGAAAGAAAGAAAGAAAGAAAGAAAGAAGCUUAAUUCAUCACACACUUGUGAAAUUUCCUCUCUGCAUUUAACCCAUCUCAAGCAGUGAACACACACAUGCACACACAUGGGAGCAAUGAGCGCACACACAUACCCAGAGCAGUGAACAGCCAUGCUAACAGCACCUGGGGAGCAGUUGGGAGUUCGGUGCCUCGCUCAAGGGCACCUCAGCCCAAGGCCGUCCCAUAUUAACCUAACCGCAUGUCUUUGGACUGUGGGGGAAACCGGAACACCCAGAGGAAACCCACACAGACAUGGGGAGAACAUGCAAACUCCACACAGAAAGGGCCCCGCCGGCCACUGGGCUCGAACCCAGAACCUUCCUGCUCUGAGGCGACCAUGCUAACCACUACCACCGUGCCGCCAAUGUUCUGUUCAUAUCUGUGAGUUUUAUUCAGCGCUCCAGCCCUCUGCAGAAUAACUCAUAUACGGAAGCAAUGAGUGCCUCGCUGCAGUCGCCAUCAGUCCCGCCCAUGAGCCUGUCUCUCAGCCAGCUCUCCGUCAUGAAAAGAAUGUCAAAACUUUUGCAGUCUGCACGAAGCAACUGCUGAAGCUGUUUAACUGCUAAACUGCUCAAAGCAAACUGUGACACGUUGAGCGUAUGUUUGAACAGCUAACCAGGUUUCUGAAACAUAAAUAUGAGGGCAAGUCGAAAGUUCUCAGACAGAUGUUAUAAUUUCAAAAGGUGUGAAAAACAUCUCAUCUCAUUAUCUCUAGCCACUUUAUCCUGUUCUACAGGGUCGCAGGCAAGCUGGAGCCUAUCCCAGCUGACUACGGGCGAAAGGUGGGGUACACCCUGGACAAGUCGCCAGGUCAUCACAGGGCCUACACAUAGACAACCAUUCACACUCACAUUCACGCCUACGGUCAAUUUAGAGUCACCAGUUAACCUAACCUGCAUGUCUUUGGACUGUGGGGGAAACCGGAGCACCCGGAGGAAACCCACGCGGACACGGGGAGAACAUGCAAACUCCACACAGAAAGGCCCUCGCCGGCCAUGGGGCUCGAACCCAGACCUUCUUGCUGUGAGGCGAUAGUGCUAACCACUACACCACCGUGCCGCCUGUGAAAAACAUCCCCCAGAAUUCUACAAAGAAGGAAUUCUCUGAUGGAAACACCACUUGCAGAAGGGUUUAGACUUAAAUGGAGGAUAUGUCGAGAAAUAACUUUAUUUUCAUGAACAAAGAUUUUUUUUCAGCUUGUCUUAAAACUUUUUGACUUCCCCUCGUAUUAAAAUUUUAAUCUGCUUCUGAUCUCUCCAAAGUAACAGGUGUUAAAAAAUACCAGAAUGAAUCCUGGACUGCUUUCUUGACAUGUUUUAAAACUGGAUGGGAUGAACAUGCACCACUGUCAGAGCUGUUACGGAAAAUUAAUCAACACCUUCUGACCAAUCAGACCAGAGAACUGUAUUGGAUUUGUUGCUUUAUUUUAUUGAAAAUGGAAAGAAUCACAGACAGGUCCGGUUCACAGAGACAGAUUUAUCAUCAUUAUUCACACAGACAAUAUAUGACAUUAAAAGAGAUGUUUUUUGGAGGAAAAAGUCAGUUGUAGGUUUACAGUGAUUUUCACAAACACAUAUUUAAGACACUGUAGAGAAAAACAAACUGAACAAUGUGAACAUGUUAAGUUUAAUUCACACAAUAUAUUUAUGUGAAGUGUGUGGGUUAGAUGCACAUUUCAGAAACUCUUCUCUGCUCUGUGGUUCUGGUCCUGAAAUGAUCUGAACUGCUGCAGCUGUGGAGAGAAAAAUAGAAACAUGAAAACACCAUCCUUCCAAGGGCAGACGCAGCUGCUGCAUGUGAGAGGAUUCACUCUGUCACAGCAAGGCUGCAGACACAGCACCCUGAGGCAUUUAUCAUCAUUUCUGGGGACUUUAAUCACGCUUCCUUGGACUCUACUUUGGCUGCUUUUUACCAGGCUGUGGAUUGUCCAACUAGGAACAACAGAACCAUUGACUUGCUGUAUGCUAAUGUGAGGGAUGCAUACAGAGUCACACCCAUCCCUCCACGAGGGAAGUCUGACCACAACCUGGUUCUUCUACAGUCAAAGUACACCCCCCUGGUCCAAAGGCAGCCUGCAACAACUAGCUCCAUCAGGAGGUGGUCCCCUGAAAUGGAAGAUGCCCUCAGAGACUGUUAUGACACCAUGGACUGGGAUGUGCUGCUUAGCCCACACUGUGAGGGCAUAGAGGGGCUGACACACUGUCUGAUGGAUUAGCUCUACUUCUAUGCAGACGUGGUCUCCCCCGCUAAGACUGUACGGUGUUACCCUAAUAACAAGCCAAGGGUAACACAGGAAGUCAAAGCUGUCCUCAACAGGAAGAAGGCCGCCUUCAGGAGCAGGGACAGGGAGGCAAUGAAAGCAGCACAGCAGGAGGUGAAACGCUGUGUGAGGGAAGCUAAGGACAGCUACAGGAGAAAGGUGGAGCAGAAGCUGAAGGAGAAGAGCAUGAGGGAGGUCUGGGAAGGUGUGAAAACCAUCACAGGCCACAACACAAAGGCCAGAGUCAUUGAGGGGACAGUGGAGAGGGCGAACGAGCUGAAUGAAUUUUUCAACCGUUUCAACCCCCCACCCUCCCCCUCACUGCAGCCAGCUCUCCUUCUUCCCUCAACACACCUCCCCCCAGUCAUCAUAGCAGCCCCCUCCUCCCCCUCCCCCCACCUCAACACAGACUCUUCCAUGCAUUACUGCAGACAAGGUCAGAGGCCAACUGAAGAAGCUUCACCCCAUAAAGCAGCAGGCCUGGACAAGGUGUGUCCCCGACUACUGAAGACCUGCACUGCUGAGCUGGGUGAACCAGUCCAAUGCAUCUUCAACCUCAGCCUGCUGCUAGGGAGAGUACCCACCCUCUGAAAGACAUCAUGUAUUGUUCCAGUUCCCAAGAAGAACCGACCCAGCGAGCUGAAUGACUUCCGACCAGUGGCACUCACUUCACAUCUGAUGAAGACGUUGGAGCGGCUCUUCCUCAGCCUCCUCAGACCCCAGGUGCAACAUUUCCAGGACUGUCUGCAGUUUGCAUACCGGGCAGGUGUUGGUGUGGAAGACGCCAUCCUCUAUCUGCUACACCCAGCCCACUCGCAUCUGGAUAAGGGAAAUGGCACAGCGAGGAUCCUUUUCUUGGACUUCUCGAGUGCCUUCAACACCAUCCAGACCCUUAUGCUUCAGGACAAACUGAACAGGAUGCGAGUGGACCCCUGCCUGGUCACCUGGAUCUCCAGCUACCUCACCGACAGGCCGCAGUAAUUUUUAAAUUUGGAUUUAAAAAUACAACACACAGAAGAUGGGGACAUCAAAAUAAAAGUACACAGAAAACCCACACAUACCGACCAAUAUUUAAACUGGACUUCCGAACACCCCAUAAUGCACAAAAUAUCCGUAGUUAGAACAUUACAUGAACGCACAGCAAUAAUUACAGAUCCACAGGACAAAGAACAGGAGGAACAACAUAUACAACACGCACUGAAGGCAUGUCAAUAUCCACAAUGGGCAAUAUCCAAAGGGGCGGAACAGGUUAAGAACAACAAAACACAGAAGAAAGAGAAAAAACAAACUAACAAACAAGAACACAGGGGAGUAGUUACAUUACCGUACAUUAGGGGAAUAACUGAACGCAUUCAAAGAGUAAUGAGGAAACACAACAUUAACACACCUGUCAAACCACACACAACACUCCGUCAGAUCCUGGUUCAUCCCAAAGACAGAAUACAUCCGGACAACAGAUGCAACACCAUAUAUGAGAUUCCAUGUCAAUUAUGCAAUAAAACUUAUAUUGGGGAGACAGGAAGGAGUUUCAACACAAGAAAAAAUGAACAUAAGAAAGAGUGCGAAAAGGAGACAGCUACAAGACAAACCCGAACAAUAAAAGAAAAGGCACAACAGGAAAAUUAUGUCAGCUAUAACAGAUCAUUGCAAAAGGGAAAAUCACAUUAUGGACUGGGGGAAUGCCAGAGUCAUCCGCACAGAAGAUAACAAACAUCAGCGCUGGAUCAGGGAGGCCAUGGAGAUCCGUAAGCGAAGCUCGAGGACCAUCAACCGGGAUGAGGGAGCAUACAUGCUCUCCCAUAGCUGGAGUGACAUCUUGCAGGGGACGAACAGACAGUAUAAGGCGUGACCGACCUGUCAAACCAGACAGGAAGGCCACGCCUUCAGAAACAGCAGCUGAUAAAAGAUGCGUCACCAAUAACAUCCGGUGACACUCUGAGGAAGACGGAAGUUGUACGUCGAAACAUGUCAGGAAUGACAGAGUCAUGAAAAAGAGGGGGAGAGUGAAGAGGUGGUCGUCUCCCGACUGGAGAACAUUAUUCCACCCACCUCAGGGACAUAUAACAGUGGUGCCGAAAGCCAGGAAGACUGACGUUAACCACCAGUGGAGUCCUCCCCACUCAAGAAUGUCACCUAUGCCCUUGCUGCCACCCAAGAAAGCCAGUACCAAGCCCUGAUCACCCUCCGCAAGGAGCAAGAGCAGCGCUGAAUCCAAUCACAAUGUUAUGGAAGGACCUGAAGCGAGCAGUUCAUGUGAGGAAACCCACCAACAUCCCAGAGUUGAAGCUGUUCUGUAUGGAGGAACGGGCUAAAAUUCCUCCAAGUCGGUGUGCAGGACUGAUCAACAGUUACCGCAAACGUUUAGUUGCAGUUAUUGCUGCACAAGGGGGUCACACCAGAUACUGAAAGCAAAGGUUCACAUACUUUUGCCACUCACAGAUAUAUAAUAUUGGAUCAUUUUCCUCAAUAAAUAAAUGACCAAGUAUAAUAUUUUUGUCUCAUUUGUUUAACUGGGUUCUCCUUAUCUACUUUUUGGACUUGUGUGAAAAUCUGAUGAUGUUUUAGAUCAUAUUUAUGCAGAAAUACAGAAAAUUCUAAAGGGUUCACAAACUUUCAAGCGCCACUGUAGCUGAAUGAACACUAACCCCACCGCCACGCCCCAAAAUCUAGUGAAAAGCCUUCCGAGAAGGGUGGAGCUCAUUAUAACAGCUUUGUUUGUUUGUUUUGCCAAAAUAUUCUCUGCGUGUGUGAAAUGUUGAAAUGUUGAGUAACUGGUCUGACCAGAUUACGACUCUCACCGAAGAGAGAUUUAACACUGUUAACCAGAACACAUACAAUUUUAAUCAGUUUUUACAGAAUCCUUCUGAUUGAUUUGGAGGUGGAAGAUUUUACAUUGUACAGUGUCUGUGAAUUCUUUUAUCUCCAUUUUAAACCCUGAGGUCACCCAAGAGUGUCCCUUUUGUUCUCCGAGAGAAACUGUUUAUGUCUUUUUACAUUGCUUCGGGUUGCAGUCACUGUUUUAUUGGUUGGGGGACAUUUUAAGAUCAUUUGAUAUGAAUUUUACCUUUCAGCUUUUUAUUUUUGGUUUUAAAUAUGUCCGGAGAAACAAAUCCAUGUGUCAGCUGGUUACUGUUAACCCUGGCCAGGCCAAAAUGGCAAUCUACUGAAGUAGAAAAAACAAAAUGGCACAAAACACAGACUGUGACCCUGAGAGAAUUCUGUCCAGACUAACUAAUUACAGAGUUUUGAUUGAUUUUAAUUUUUUUAAGAGUAUGGGUGAUAUGGAAAUGUUUCAGACAGUGUGGUGUUGUGAGGAGGCUCUGUGCUCGGUAGUGGAAGAAGAACUUUGUUUUACACAAAACCUGCAUUGCAGAAUCACUGCAAUAACUUAACUCACACUGUGCACUGUUAUAUUUAACCGAAUUUAUUUAAAAUGCUUUAUUAAAUAUUUAUUUAUUAAUUCACAUACAUUUUAUUAUGUAAUGCUACUUUUGUA